GCUCGUAUGUGCGCUUAACACAAACGACGACGGCCACGCUGAUCAAUUACAUUUCUAUCGGCAAACGCUACAGUUGUUCUCUGGCUUUUGAUGUGCAACACCCACGUGGCCCUGUAUUACAUAAAACCUAACCAAUUACACAACUCUACACGUGUGCAGAAUUCUAAUACAUACCUUCACUAAGACUAAUCAGCAAAACUAAAGCGGUGUUGUGAAACUUCAUAGUGCCUAAACAAAUACAUACACAUAAUGUAAAUGAGAAUUUCUUGGUCACUGGAGGUCUGCCGUGCAUUGGCGCUCUCACACCUAAAACCCCCUGCCGCAACAACCAGUGUAUUACGGCUGGCUUUUCGUCGACUAGUCCCUAUAAACCUUAAGCAGGAUUCCAACUGUACAUCAAUACCGCUGAGGCGAAGUCGCUUGAAAAUCGACGCAGCUUAAGAGGGCUGGAAUUUUGAUCAGGAUGUGAACAGCAACAGGAGUGGAGAUGUUGAAGCUUGUUGAAGGUUGUUGAAGGUUGUUGAAACCAUCGAGUCGUGAGUACGAGCAUACUCGAGCAAAUGCAUUGUAGAGUAGCGGAGCAGCGCAAAGAAAGAUAGAGUGAUAACUCGCUCUCCCAAAGAGGGAGCUUUCGAAAGAAGAGAAGUGUGGCUGUACAUAUGUAAGCACAGUCAUAUAAAGGGCACAGUUGGAUCGCGUAUUUUCGCAUUUAAUUUUCUCAAUUUUCUUUUCUUUUGCGUUUCCAAUUUAAUCUGGAUAUCCGAAAUUAAUUUGUAAAGAAAAAUCAUUAUCAUGCAGAACCCUUGAAUUAUUUUCGUUUCCUUUUUUUAUGUUAAGUAGAUUAAUCUCAUAAACAAUAAUGUUAAGCCUGGACUGACUCUAGCAAUGUCGGCUACAAUAUCAUUCUUUAUUUCCUAUCAUCUGUAUAACAUUAAUCUUGUUUCACAGCUACCGAAGCAGUUCAUUGGGCCCAACGAGCUCGUUAAGGAAAGUGUGUGUGUACUGAAAAUGAUAAUGAUGCAUUAUUUUAGUACCGAAAUGAGUAUGUUGACAUUCGUGAGUAGAAAGGCUCUGUUGUACGUUGAAUUAUGUUUUAUAUUCUUAUGUUAAGAAAAGUUGUAUUAAGGAACAAAUGGAAAUCGUUGUUAGUAGCAAUGUACAUAGCAAUUUUUUAAUCAUCAUAUAUUUCUUGCCAUCUAUACCGCUCGGUAUUUUUUUUUUUUUUGAUUAAAGUAAAGUAAAGUGCAGCUAAUCUUUUUAUAUUAUGGCGACCGCAAGGAAUUAUAGAGAUAGGAAAGACCCCGACCCCAUCCGGCGAGCUGAAGCCCAGAGCGCUGAAGCUGUAGAGAAAAUCAGCGAACCUAGCCGUGCCAGUAGACUGACUGAUUACGGUUAUAAAAAAAACAGUCGCGGCGAUAGAAGCGACUCACAAAGUUCCCUCUCGUUUUUUUAUAAUAUUAAUUGCAUAAAUUAGCAUAAAUUGAAUUUGGAUAGUUAUAAUCGUUUUUCAGCUUAAACUUAACUAUUUAAAUAUCAUAAAAAGUACUCAUUUUAUAACAGUUUUGGUCUUGUCAUCAUUUGAGAAAAUGUAAGCGAGAUGGUGUAGUUAAUUUCGCGCAAUUAAAGUUCUCAUACAUGUCAUGUUUAGAUGGUAAGUUAGUGAAUCUCCUGCUGUUCCUGAAUACUCUCCUAGCGAUUUCUUCGGAGGCUUCAUUUUCGCUUCCCACUUUAAAAUCAUAGUAGCGAGCAUAGCUGGUGGUCCCGUUCACAUUUAAAAUGAAAAUUGUAUUUUUCUUAAGAGAGGAAAUGAGAAAAUUUUCGCAGAGAGAAAACAAAGCAAAAAAUUAUUCUUAAAAAUUACUUGAAAGAUUACAUUCCACUUUUGUUUAUAUUCGGUUGCAAGUAUUUCCAAGAAAUUAAAUAAAUAUUGAAAUUAGAGCGAAUAAUAAUGAUAAUAACGAUAAUAAUGUAAUACGGUGUUGCAAGGGAAAUACUCGAAUACUUGAAUUUUGUUUCUCAGUUCUAAAGGCAUUCCUCUAUCAUUUACUACAGUUUAAAGUGGUAGCAGAUGACAAUAAUGAAAUGAAUGACAAAAUACACUCAUUGGAGCUCACCAUCAACCAUUUUUAGAGUCUAAAAAUGAUUCAGAAAUAAAAUGUAUAUAAAAUCAAGGUUAAAGAGGAACAAAUCAAGGUGAAAGACGAGCAAAUCAAGAAAAAAGACCAGCAAAUCAACGCAAAGACAAACAAAUUAAGGACAAAGAUGACCAAAUCUAGUAUCUCAGAGACCAAAUUAAGGGCAAAGACAAACAAAUCAAGUAAAAAUACGGGAAAAUCAACGGCAACGACAAACAAAUCAAGGUGAAAGACGAAUAAAUUAAG